rnacentral:lncRNA from 1 species
AUCAACUUAAGUGUUCAUCAGUGGAUGAAUAAAUAAAGCAUAGUACAUAUGUACAAAGAAAUACUAUCUAGCCCUUAAAAGGAGUGCUAUGAUUUGUAACAAUAUGAACGAACCCAGAGGACAGUAUAUUAAAUGAAAUAAGGAAAAAUAUCUUUUGGUGAUGGAAACAGAGUGGUGUGAAUAGGACAACAGUAAAUCUGUCCCCAAGCCACUUUCCAACUGUAAAUCAUCAUUAUAUGGGAUUGACUUUCUGCUCAUGGUGACACUUUACCCGGUGAAGUGAGCGGAAGGAUUGGAAGUAAUUUCUACAAUAUCAGCCUCUUUGGUGUGAUUCAUUUCUGCUUUCAUCACAGCAAGUGGAAGGAAGAUACCCAGCAGGGGAAUACCUGGAUCAAAUAGAACUUCCAAUCCUAGUUUUUUGAGGAAUCUCCACACUGAUUUCCACAGUGGUUGCACCAGUCUACAGUCUCCAAUAGACUUGUGUCUUCACCCUGCUGCAUCGUGACUAGCACCUAUGGCUGGACAGCCAACAUGGAGUGGAUCAUGAAGGCCCAGGUCCUCCAUGACAGCUCUACCAUGGGUUACAUGAUGGUCAAGAAGCACCUGGAGAUCAGCCCUGACCACCUCAUUGUGGAGAUGCUGCAGCAGACGGCUGAAGCUGACAUGAAUGCGUUCUCUUUCACUGACAGUGACUCUAGGAAGACCAGAUAAUAGAAUCUGCAGCAGACAACUUCUUUGCUGGUACUUUGUUGGAAAGAUACUCCUAGGGAGACGAGCGAAGAACAAGGCAAUGGAACAAGAGAGAAGGGAGAGCUGACAUGGAUAAUCCACAGUGGCCGUCAGCAUGCGUGAAAACCAGAGGACCCAGUAACUACUUCAUCUAAGAAGCUGAGAAUCACAGAGCAAGAGAAGUCAGAGACACAGUUCUAGUAUGAGGCUGGAGGAUCGGAAGUUUCCUAAAGAACAGCUGGUGGAGUUUACAUCAGAAGGAUGAAGAACCUGCUAAUUUCUUUCUUUCCUUUCUUGUUCCAUCUAAGCUGCAAAGCUAUUGGAUGGUGUCACCCACAGGCAGGCCAAGUCUUCCCACCAAUUUUUGCUGGCCUGUGUGCCAGUCAUCUCUGGAACCCCCCCCCCCCCAGUGUGCUUUGCUAAUCUCCUAGUUGUCCCUCAACCCAGGCAAGUUGACAAUAAAG